AAGAAAGCAAAAGAAAGAAAGACAAAAACAGAAGAUUGACUACAUUUCGAUUGCCUCCCUUUACGUUCUUUUCUAAAUCUUUCUCUUU
rnacentral:ribozyme from 1 species